UUGCAAACCUGUGCCACGCUGCUGCGGUUGUUACUUCAGGCUGGGUCCUAGGUCCUGGCCGCUCCCCUGGCCAAGGAUGAUUGCAGAUUGAGAGGGGAAUGCUGAAAAUGGGUGCUUCUCCUCUCUGGUAUCUCACCCACACCUGAACUGGAACCAAGUGCUACCACGAAUGAGUCAGGGGGGCAUCAGCUGAGCCUGACUCUGUCCUCAGCCAGUAUCCACCAAGGGAACUCCCAACAUGUGGUUGGCGAUGAAGGCCUAUUCCCGGAUUCCAGGGUGUCUGUUAGGCUCUCCAGAGACAUCUACUUUCCCAGGAUGAGUAGAGUUUAAAGGUUUGGGGGCCAUGUACGAUAUUUUAUGAGAUUACUUUGAUUCUACUGAAUGGAGCAAUGAGCCAGCAAUUUUCUGAAGGAACUCAGUGGGUCAAGCAGCAUCUGUGGAGGCAAAGGGAUUGUUGACAUUUUGGUUGGGAC